GUUGGGUGACAUAUAAUAUCCAGGUUAUAUGCAACACAUCCAGGUCACAUCCAGGUUAUAUACAACACAUCCAGGUCACAUUCAGGUAAUAUCUAGGUUAUAUACAACACAUCCAGGUCACAUCCAGGUUAUAUACAACACAUCCAGGUCACAUCCAGGUCAUAUACAGGUUAUAUACAGCACAUCCAGGUUAAAUACAACACAUCCAGGUUAUAUACAACACAUCCAGGUCACAUCCAGGUUAUAUACAACACAUCCAGGUCACAUCCAGGUCAUAUACAGGUUAUAUACAGCACAUCCAGGUCAAAUACAACACAUCCAGGUUAUAUACAACACAUCCAGGUCAUAUCCAAGUCAUAUCCAGGUUAUAUACAGCACAUCCAGGUUAAAUACAACACAUCCAGGUUAUAUACAGCACAUCAAGGUCACAUCCAGGUUAUAUACAACACAUCCAGGUUAUAUACAGCACAUCAAGGUCACAUCCAGGUUAUAUACAACACAUCCAGGUUAUAUACAGCACAUCCAGGUCACAUCCAGGUCACAUCCAGGUCAUAUCCAGGUCAUAUCCAGCUGCUGUCUCAGAAUUGACACAUUGUUCUAGAUACACAUCCAGGUCACAUCCAGGUCACAUCCAGGUCAUAUCCAGGUUAUACCCAGGUCACAUCCAGGUCAUAUCCAGGUCACAUCCAGGUUAUAUACAGCACAUCCAGGUUAUAUACCGCACAUCCAGGUUAAAUACAGCACAUCCAGGUUAAAUACAACACAUCCAGGUUAUAUACAACACAUCCAGGUUAUAUACAACACAUCCAGGUCACAUCCAGGUCACAUCCAGGUUAUAUACAACACAUCCAGGUCAUAUCCAAGUCAUAUCCAGGUUAUAUACAACACAUCCAGGUUAAAUACAGCACAUCCAGGUUAUAUACAACACAUCCAGGUCAUAUCCAAGUCAUAUCCAGGUUAUAU